rnacentral:rRNA from 1 species
UACACACCGCCCGUCACAUCACGAAAGUGGGCUGUACUAGAAGUGGCCGAGCUAACCCGCAAGGGGGCAGGUUACGACGGUAUGGUUCAUGAUUGGGGUG